rnacentral:rRNA from 1 species
UACGAAAGGUGCGAGCGUUAAUCGGAAUUACUGGGCGUAAAGCGUGCGUAGGCGGCUAUUUAAGUCGGAUGUGAAAGCCCCGGGCUCAACCUGGGAGGUGCAUCCGAUACUGGGUAGCUAGAGUGUAGUAGAGGGAGGUGGAAUUUCCGGUGUAGCGGUGAAAUGCGUAGAGAUCGGAAGGAACAUCAGUGGCGAAGGCGGCCAUCUGGGACAACACUGACGCUGAAGCACGAAAGCGUGGGGAGCAAACAGG